AACAAGUCUAUACUCAUCAAUAAGUAAUAAUCAAUAAUCAUGUAUGUGUAGCUGAGAAGGACCUGAGAAACCCAACCUCAUCCCCAGUCCUCCUAAAACUUACAUGAGUCCCAGCGCUGCUCAGGGGGGUGAGACUUACGUGCUAGGAGAGGGAAUGACUCGACUCUAGCCUCCCCUUUAUAAGUCUGCCUCCCUCCAACCCAGCUGAAGUUAAGUACAGUUGAUUGGCAUGCAUCAAUCAUGCUAAUUAUAGUUAAUGAAGGGUGUCUUUUAAGGUAUCUGGUGGCUUUUGUAGAUAUGGCAAAUAUCCUUAAGCUUAGAUCUACACAUGAAGAUGUUUUAAGAUGAUUUCUGGUUUUAUUGUAAGUAGGUGGUGGCCAUAGAAAGCGGCUAGAUGUCUUCACAUAAAUUUUAUAGCCUCUGAGAAGUCAACACGUUCUUUUAGAGUCCUGUAACUGUUGCUAAAUUAAGACCAAAGCAUACUCAAACCCUCGUUUGAAUUAAAACUGCAUUAUAACACAGCAUAUUGUAUGUAGUACUACGGAGAAAUACUGCGACUGCUAAUUUUAUUAUAUUUCAUCAUAUGCAGUUGUUGCACAUAUACUCUAGCAGGAAAAAUUCUUUUUAACAAAAAUGACAUGAGAUUAUAUCAUGAUACUGCAAUGCAAGUAUGGAAAUGAAUAUGGGAUGGAAGUUCAGGUCUUAGUGUCUUCCAAAAAAAGGUGUCACCCAUAGAAGUAGUCUAUAGAAAGAAAAGAUGCCAUUUUAAGCUAGUCCAUGUGAACUUGUGCCACUAUAGAGCUGAGUAAGAUUUUAUAUAUGAUUGUGGAUGUUAAUAUUUUCUAUUAGUAGUUGAUGUGGAGUUCAGCUCAAAGUCACUUGUAAAAAAAAUGAAGUAAAACAACAAUGAAAGCCAUGGAUCCAACUUACAAUUACAUUUAUAGAUAAAUCCAUAUUUCAAUCUUCAGAAUGAUGUAGAGAUCUAGGGUCUAAAAGGUUGAAAUUUGCCUGACUGACGGAUGUAUCUUUUCCCGGUGGUGCGAAUUCAAGAUGUUUUAAACCUAUGACAUGUAAUUAAUGAAGCACAGUCAGUAGAUGCCAUAUGUGAAAUUGUUUUACUCGGUAUCCUGCCAAAGAUGAGAUUAUACUUGUAUCAGGUAGAAUAAAAGAUUUAUCAUGAGCAGUAUGUGCGGCUGAUUCCAGGUGUUCACCCUGUGUUUUAGAGUCACCAGAUUUUUAACAUGUCUGAAUAAAACAUAUUUUAGUCCAGGAUGGCACAACAAAA